rnacentral:rRNA from 1 species
UACGUAGGGGGCAAGCGUUGUCCGGAAUCAUUGGGCGUAAAGAGCGUGUAGGCGGCCCGGUAAGUCCGCCGUGAAAUCCCCGGGCUUAACCUGGGAAUGGCGUUUGGGACUGGAAGUCUGGAGUGCGGCAGAGGAGACUGGAAUUCCUGGUGUAGCAGUGAAAUGCGUAGAUAUCAGGAGGAACACCGAUGGCGAAGGCAGGUCUCUGGGCUGACACUGACGCUCAUGCACGAAAGCGUGGGGAGCAAACAGG